ACGCACACGGGCUUGAGUUGCAAGGCGUGCACUCCGGGUUGAGCCCCGGCCAUCUGGGCUCAUCUGGGCUCCGGGCGGCCCGGGCGAGCGCGGCAGGGACUGGGGACCGUGCGCGGGGCGCGGGGCGCGGGGCGCGGGCUCCUUUCUCUGCUCCGGAGGCGCUCGACUCUGCUCCCCGCCGGCCUCCCCGGCCUCCCGGCCUCCGCACCUCCCUCCGGCGCCGCUCAGCAGGCAGAGCGCGCGGGGGCGCAGCGCCCGGCCAUGCCCCGGGCGGGACGCGAGGUCUGGAGCCCGCGGUGGAUGAGGAGCCUCGGAAGGCGAAGAGAAGCCGAGCCGGUCAGCCGAGGCUGCCAGUCGCGGCGGAUUCUGCUCCUCCGCCGCCGCCGCCUCAAAGCGCACCAUUCAGCACAUCCUCUAUACACAGAGGGAGAGAGCGAGUGACACACGCCCGGCGCCCCCCCUAACCGCUCUUUUCCCUCCUCCCUCCUCCUCCCCCCCGCCCCCCUUCCCCGCCACCCUCGCUCGCUGGGUCCUUCCUUCCCCCCGCGGCUCCCAGCC
rnacentral:lncRNA from 1 species